rnacentral:rRNA from 1 species
UGAGGAAUAUUGGUCAAUGGGCGAGAGCCUGAACCAGCCAAGUCGCGUGAGGGAGGAAGGUCCUACGGAUUGUAAACCUCUUUUGCCGGGGAGCAAAGGGGCCAUUGAUGGCAGGAUGAGCGUACCCGGAGAAAAAGCAUCGGCUAACUCCGUGCCAGCAGCCGCGGUAAUACGGAGGAUGCGAGCGUUAUCCGGAUUUAUUGGGUUUAAAGGGUGCGCAGGCGGACUCGUCAAGUCAGCGGUAAAAAUUCGGGGCUCAACCUCGUCCUGCCGUUGAAACUGCGAGACUGGAGUGCGACAGAGGAAGGCGGAAUGCGAGGUGUAGCGGUG